CGCAGGGUCGCAUCCCGCCGCAGGGGAGGCUGCAGGCCUAGUGCGCGGCCUCUGAUGGGGCGGGGUGAGGCGGAGCCAUUCUAGGAAGGAAGUCGGGAUCCCCAAACCCGGAGGUCCUGGGCAUAGGUUUUAGGGGGCUGCAGGAGAGCCCAGGCUACUAAACAGAGCACAGACGUCAAGAAACUUGGAACUUCCCCUCAGCGCUCCGGGACGCAGGCAGGGCGCUCAACGAGGGGAGGCGCCACCUACAGGACAGAGGAAGACCUGCACCCUGAUCUGGAAAAUUCGACCGCUGGGGGGGUCCGGAACCGACUGGGCACCGUGUGCCCCUCCUCCUCCUCGCCGUAGACCGUUCACCUCGGGGUUCCCGAUUUUUGAGACUCCCUUACUCAGCUGGAGAGAAAAUCGUUGCCAAGCUUGCUGUACAUCCUUGGGCAGAAGACUGAAGAGGCAGGAAGCUAUCAUGUUAUGAGCAAGUGCUACAUUCCAGACACCAUGGACUAGGAACUUGACAUCAAUUCAAUUAUUUCAUGUAGUCUUUGCUACAACUCCAUGAGAGAAUAUCAUUAUUUUCACAUUAAAGGUGUGGAAACUAGGCUCAGAGAGCUUAAGAAACUUGCACAAGUCCAUCUAGGCGAUGAGUGAUAGAGGUGAGAUUUGUACCCAUGUCUCUCUGACUCUAAAUUCCUCCUUCUCCUCCCAUACCAUCUUGUCCCUCUGAGUCCCUGUUUUCUGAGGCGAAUCCCGGCAUCUAACCUCUCUGGUUCCCAGCUCAUACUUCGAUCAACUGCUGGAUUAUGUUCGGCCUCUGGCAGGGGGCUGAGGGCUGGGAAACCAUGCAGUUAUCCAACUUCUCCCAAGUUCAGAGGUCAGAGUCAGGAGCUCUGAUUACUGCAUCCACCCUCCCCCACCUCUAGGAGGGUGCCGUGUUUCAUGUGAGGUCAGCAGCCACACAUCUCUUCUGCAACAUCCUUCAGAAUAUGGGCUCCCCACCCACAACUCAUCCCUGGCCUGGGGCGGACUGUUCAUUAAGGGGAAGGUAGGGAGGAGGUGAACCAAGAUAGCAAAGAGAUCCAUCAAGGUGCGGAGCUGACAGGUGCACACACCUGCUUCUAGCCAGAGGAGCUAGCGGCCAGUGGGAACCUGCCUCAAGGAGAGGACUUUAUCUGGAAAGGGAAGGGAGGAUAAAGGGAAAAACAAAACUAAACGAGAUUGGACCACUCUAAUCAUAUGGCUCUAAAUCACAGGGAAGAACCAUGGCUCAGACAUCCAAGUGGUGGAGGAUGGGAUUUUUACCUUGACUCCUGCUAAUUUUCAUUGAUUUAUGUGGCUUGAAAGCAUUUAUUUUCUGCUUACAAGCUACCCACCUCUUGCUAAGGAGGCUCUGGACUCCCUUAAAUACUCUCACCAUGAAGAGGCAGGAGGCAGAGGUGGGUUUCAGGGCAAGGGCUAAGUUUCCUGCUUGGUUUCAG
rnacentral:lncRNA from 12 species